CCCUAUGGGUUGUAAACUGCUUUUAUACACCAAGAAAAAGCACGNCNUGUGGUGGUCUGACGGUAGUGUAUGAAUAAGCAUCGGCUAACUCCGUGCCAGCAGCCGCGGUAAUACGGAGGAUGCAAGCGUUAUCCGGAUUCAUUGGGUUUAAAGGGUGCGUAGGCGGCUUUUUAAGUCAGUGGUGAAAUCCUGCCGCUUAACGGUAGAAUUGCCAUUGAUACUGAAGAGCUUGAGUCCAGUUGAGGUAAGCGGAAUGUGUAGUGUAGCGGUGAAAUGCUUAGAUAUUACACAGAACACCAAUUGCGAAGGCAGCUUACUAAACUGGCACUGACGCUGAUGCACGAAAGCGUGGGGAGCGAACAGGAUUAGAUACCCUGGUAGUCCACGCCGUANAC
rnacentral:rRNA from 1 species